UCCAACUAUAGACAGCUGCCUAGGUGGCCUUGUACCUAGGCAAGUGUUACACUGAUGGGAGAAAAGCAGCCAAUAGGUGGUGGGUAUCAUGGGCCUGGUGAAUGACAAA
rnacentral:snoRNA from 1 species